rnacentral:lncRNA from 1 species
ACAUAAUUUAUCAUUCAAUGAAUGAAGUAAGUAAUAUAUUAUUUUUUCUUAAAAAAAAAAUUAUUGCUAGCCAAUGUCGGAUCGUUGGCGCUAACCACCAAUUUACUUAAAGCGUACAGAAACAGCGCCCAUGGGUAUCGAUUGUGACUCAGCCCACCUGGCCUCAAACCACUUCGAAUAUGACUCGGCCCAACCCAAACUCACGCCAUUCGAACAUGACUCGGCCCACAUGGCAGAAUGCUGGCCCAUUUAAGCCAACAAUCCCCCCUCCAGCACCUGGACACAUUUGCAGCAUGCAGGAAUCGAACCCGUGACCAUGCUGGCCCAUUUAAGCCAACAAUCCCCCCUCCAGCACCUGGACAUAUUUGCAGCAUGCAGGAAUCGAACCCGUGACCUCUGGCUUUGAUACCACUUGUCGGAUCGUUGGCGCUAACCAUUAAUCCCAAAAGCUCGAGCUGUUAGAAAUACGCAACCAAUUCACUUAAAGCGUACAAAAACAGCGCCCAUGGGUCUCGAUUGUGACUCGGCCCAUCUGGCCUCACGCCACUUCGAACAGGACUCGGCCCAAUCCAGCCUCACGCCAUUUCGAACAUGACUCGGCCCACAUGGCCUCCCGCCACAGGGCAGGAUGCUGGCCCAUUUAAGCCAAAAGCCAAGAGAUUAAUAAUUUAUAUUGGAGAUUAUUAGUUUGAAGUUUAAUAGGUUCAAGGUAGAA